AGGACGGUAGAUGAGGAGGAAGCCCCGGCUAACUAUGUGCCAGCAGCCGCGGUAAAACAUAGGGGGCAAGCGUUGUCCGGAAUCACUGGGCGUAAAGGGCGCGCAGGCGGUCUGUUAAGUCAGAUGUGAAAGGUUAGGGCUCAACCCUGAACGUGCAUCUGAUACUGGCAGACUUGAGUAUGGAAGAGGUAAGUGGAAUUCCUAGUGUAGCGGUGAAAUGCGUAGAUAUUAGGAGGAACACCAGUGGCGAAGGCGACUUACUGGGCCAUAACUGACGCUGAGGCGCGAAAGCGUGGGGAGCAAACAGGAUUAGAUACCCUGGUAGUCCACGCCGUAAACGAUGGGUACUAGGUGUCGGAGGUUUCAAGACCGUCGGUGCCGCAGUUAACACAAUAAGUACCCCGCCUGGGGAGUACGGUCGCAAGACUGAAACUCAAAGGAAUUGACGGGGGCCCGCACAAGCGGUGGAGCAUGUGGUUUAAUUCGACGCAACGCGAAGAACCUUACCAAGACUUGACAUCCUGCUGCCGAGUGAUGUAAUGUCACUUUUCCUUCGGGACAGCAGAGACAGGUGGUGCAUGGUUGUCGUCAGCUCGUGUCGUGAGAUGUUGGGUUAAGUCCCGCAACGAGCGCAACCCUUGUCGUCAGUUGCCAUCAUUAAGUUGGGCACUCUGACGAGACUGCCGCAGACAAUGCGGAGGAAGGUGGGGAUGACGUCAAAUCAUCAUGCCCCUUAUGUCUUGGGCUACACACGUGCUACAAUGGUCGGUACAGAGGGCAGCGAAGGAGCGAUCCGGAGCCAAUCUCACAAAGCCGAUCCCAGUUCGGAUUGCAGGCUGCAACUCGCCUGCAUGAAGUCGGAAUCGCUAGUAAUCGCAGGUCAGCAUACUGCGGUGAAUACGUUCCCGGGCCUUGUACACACCGCCCGUCACACCACGAAAGUUGGUAACA
rnacentral:rRNA from 1 species